GCGCACCAGGCGAGAAUCCUUCGCAAUGCGGGAAACCGCGACGAGGGACUCCCAGUGCCUACGCUCAGCGUAGGCUGUUCCCGAGCCUAGAAAGCUCGGGGAGUAAGGGCUGGGUAAGACGGGUGCCAGCCGCCGCGGUAAUACCCGCAGCCCGAGUGGUGGCCACUAUUAUUGGGCCUAAAGCGUCCGUAGCCGGCCCGGUAAAUGCCUGGGUAAAUCGUGAGGCCUAACCUCACGAAUUCCGGGUAGACUGCCGGGCUAGGGACCGGAGGAGGGAGAGGGUACUCCAGGGGUAGGGGUGAAAUCCUGUAAUCCCUGGAGGACCACCGGUGGCGAAGGCGCUCUCCUAGGACGGGUCCGACGGUGAGGGACGAAAGCCAGGGGAGCGAACCGGAUUAGAUACCCCCGUAGU
rnacentral:rRNA from 1 species